UACGUAGGGUGCAAGCGUUGUCCGGAAUUAUUGGGCGUAAAGAGCUCGUAGGCGGUUUGUCGCGUCUGCUGUGAAAACCCGAGGCUCAACCUCGGGCCUGCAGUGGGUACGGGCAGACUAGAGUGCGGUAGGGGAGAUUGGAAUUCCUGGUGUAGCGGUGGAAUGCGCAGAUAUCAGGAGGAACACCGGUGGCGAAGGCGGGUCUCUGGGACGGUACUGACGCUGAGACGCGAAAGCGUGGGGAGCGAACGGG
rnacentral:rRNA from 1 species